AUGUGGAGAGACGGUGGACCGUAGAGCAUGCGUGCCAUUUGUGACGUAUGUGCUAUGGUCCACUCAUUCUCGGCAUCA
rnacentral:pre_miRNA from 1 species